rnacentral:rRNA from 1 species
AGUGCUAUAAUAUAAAGUAAUUCCUGCUCAGUGAACAUUAACAGCCGCAGAAUUUUAUACUGUGCUAAGGUAGCAUAAUCACUUGUCUUCUAAUUAAAGAAUAGAAUGAACGGAAAAACGAAUUUUAGCCUGUUUCAUUAUUUUUUAAUAAAAUUACCAAAAAGUAAAAACUCUUUUUUCCAAAAAAAAGACGAUAAGACCCUAAAGAACUUCACUAAAGUUAAGCUGGGGCGGCUUUUUAAAAAAAUCUUAUUUAUAAAUUAUAUCUUCUUUCUUAAAUUUACAACGUUACCUUAGGGAUAACAGCAUAAUUUAAUUUAAUAGCUCUUAUUCAAAAUUAAGAUUAUGACCUCGAUGUUGAAUUAAAAAUCUUUUAAACGAAAAAAAUUAAAAAGAAAGUCUGUUCGACUUUUAAAUAUUUACAUGAUUUGAGUUCAGACCGGUGAAAACCAGGUCGGUUUCUAUCUUUUUUAAAUUUUUAUCAGUACGAAAGGACCACAAAAACUAUUA